rnacentral:rRNA from 1 species
CCCCACCAACCACAGCUUGAACUCCAAAAGAGGGCAGUAAAAAUUACUACUCCACCAAAGCACUUCAUCACUCAAGUUACUAGCCUAGAUCCUAACCCUAACCCUGGACAAGAUUAGCAGCUCCCAACACACCAAAGCUGAAAAAAGCUAAAAAAGCCAAGAAAUGACAGCGGAGGAGGAGCAGCAGGAAAAGACAUCGCAGGGGAGGAAGAAAGUCCGGUAAAUCCAGAAAGUGGGCGUGGUAUCUAUCUAUCUAUCUAUCUUUCCCUAGAUUUUCUUAUUCCCCCCUCCCCUAUCUCUCUCUCCUCGGCGUCUUCUCUUCUCUCCCCAUCGCCAUCUGCGGUCCAUUAUUGGUCUCCUCCUCCCUUGUUCUUGCCUGGUUUUUGGGGAAGGGGAGGGAGGCGGGGAGGGCGAUUUGGCAGGAGGAAGACGAAGAAGGAGAGGAGGAAAGCUGUUGAUUUUGGGGGACGGACGGCAAGUUGGUGUGGUUGUUUUGCGUGUGGGUGUGGAGAUGGACCCCAAGUUCCCCCCUCCCCCACCGCUAAACAAAGCGGAGCCCACCUCCGCGGCGACGGCCACCACCACCACCUCCUCCCCCUCCUCCACGCCCGCCCAGCACCACCAGCAGCAGCACCACCAGCAGCAGCAGCUGGAUCGCGAGCAGUACCACCACCCGCCGGCGCAGGAGCAGCAGCAGCCGCCGCAUCAGCAGCACCUGCAAAUCCAGGUGCAUCAGCAGCAGGAGGAUGGGGGCGGGGGCGGGGGGAAGGAGCAGCAGCAGCAGCAGCAGCAGCAGGCGGUGGUGGCCGCGGCGGCGGCGGCGGGGGACCGGAGGGUGCAGGCGCUGGGGCCCAAGCGGAGCUCCAACAAGGACCGCCACACCAAGGUGGACGGCCGGGGGCGCCGGAUCCGGAUGCCGGCGCUCUGCGCCGCGCGGAUCUUCCAGCUCACGCGCGAGCUCGGCCACAAGUCCGACGGCGAGACCGUGCAGUGGCUGCUGCAGCAGGCCGAGCCGGCCAUCGUCGCCGCCACCGGCACGGGCACCAUACCGGCGUCCGCGCUCUCCUCCGUCGCGCCCUCGCUCCCCUCGCCCACCUCCGCGCUCGCCGGCCGCCCGCACCACCACCACCACAUGUGGGGGCCGCCGCCGGCCUCCGCGGGCUUCUCGCAGGCCGGCUUCAUGAACUCCUCCGGCGCCGACGGCGGGGGCAUCGGCGGCCUCAUGCAGCGGAUUGGCCUCCCCGCCGGGAUCGAGCUGCCGGGCGGCGGCGCGGGGGGCAUGGGUGGCCACAUCGGGUUCGCGCCCAUGUUCGCCGGCCACGCGGCCGCGGCCAUACCGGGGCUGGAGCUCGGCCUGUCGCAGGAGGGCCACAUCGGGGUGCUCAGCCAGUUCUACCACCAGGUCGGCGGCGCCGCCGGGGCCAGCGGGCAGCUGCAGCACCCGCACCCGCACCCCCACCAGCACCACCACCACGAACAGCAGCACCACCAGCAGCAGCAGCAGCAGGACGGGGAGGACGAGCGCGAGGACGGCGACUCCGAGGAGGAGUCCGGGCAGUAGCAGGCUGUUGUCCACUUGUUAUCACCACAUCUGUUUCUGUUAAUUUCUGCAGAAGGAGAAACCAAGGAAGGAGAGAAAACUGUAUGCACGCAGCUAUGGCGACGCUUUGAUUACCUUUAGGUUGUUGUUGUUCGUUUCUUGGGCUUGUGAUGAGUUUUUAAGUCGAUUUUUUUCACUUGUGGUGUCCAAACUCAAAAGAGGCUUCUUGCUCUGGGGUUUUAGUGGAAUGGAUCAGGGUCAUCCUCAGUUCCUACUCCUGCUGCUCCUUUGAUCAUCGCCAGAAUUCCCUCCGGUUCAGGUGUAUAAUAGCUGAGAGCUGGAUGAUUUCGAUCAUCCUCCCUUGAGUGAGUGCCUUAUUUGUUGUUAUUGCAAGGUGUGUAGAUAUUCAGGUGAUUUUGCAGCUAGGGAGGUGUUCUUUUAUAGGAGCAGUGAUCUGCUCUUGAGCGAUCAAGAUGAUGGCUGGCAAUUUUAUCCUCCCUUCCCACGGGCAAUUUCUGCAACGAAAAUAUGAUACAAUAAUAAACAUUUCUAGAUCCCUGAUUCUAUAUGCUUAUCUUCUUAGACAAUCAUUUUAUAUAGCAUUAUCCUUGUUUGCUU